rnacentral:snRNA from 1 species
GGAUAUGAGGAGAUCUGGCUGCAAGAAUUGUCACACCACCGACAGCCUGGCUGAUUCAGCAGAUCUAGCUGGCACGGCGGGUGCCCCCUUUCUCCCUCACUGUUUCAUGCUCAUCCCUCCUGAAGCUGCUCCCUAGAUUGAAGAGGAUUUUCUUUGACUGAGGACCAUUCUUUGGACAAAUGUAUACAAGCAGCUGUGCUUUCCUGCUGAAAACUCCAAAUGAGCUCUCAACAUCUCACGGUGCAACUACAUCAUCAAUACAGCACUGUGGCCUAUCCAGAUAGCAAUUU